rfam:Methylobacterium platani strain SE2.11 contig_334, whole genome shotgun sequence.
UAACAACAGGAAGGAGGUGAUCCAGUGUCUCAUUGUCAUCAGCCGCGGUCGUCUGCGCGCCGGACCUGGAUCGUCGCCUCCGGCUUCACGGCCUGAGCGCACGACGAACUAUCCGGGAUCGGUGAUGAUCCUGCGGAAUUGCUGAUGCAAUUCUGAUCGAUCGGUCGGACCGCGGUUCGGCAAUGGAAGGGCUGCCCCGGCAACGGGGCGGCCCU